AGUCUUAUAGUCAUUAAAAUGAUAUUAAACUGCAAAUUUAAAGGAAAACUAAAGUUUUAAGGCUU
rnacentral:tRNA from 1 species